CUUAAUGGUAGAGCAGGAUACUUCUAAUAUUUAGAUCUAAGUUCGACUCUUAGAUAGAAAA
rnacentral:tRNA from 1 species